UGUAAACAUUGAUAUAUGUUUCUUCGUGAGUAUGUGGCUUUAAAUUAUAAGCUCUCUUCAAAAAGCCCUAUAUAUUAUAGCUGAUUUCGAGGAAUUGAAUGAAUUGGUAAAUGUGGCACCCUGUUAAUUUUGGUUAUUUUAACUGAAUCACUUUUAUAACUGCUCGUUGUGUUGUAUUUGUGCUGUUCGUAUCCCACGUCGUGUUUGUGGCUGUUAGGUAAAUGUUCUGUACUCGUCGUGUGAUUGUCACGCAGGGUGUAUCCUAUGCUGUGUUACAGGUAGCUGUCAGUUAUGUGCUUUGUAUGUGUGUUUCGUGAAUGUCCGGAGAGUAUGUUCAUGUGAUGUAUGUUUGUAAUAAACUGGUUUGACCACUGACGGACAGGACAGGGCAGGACAUGCGCAAUGCGUUUCUUCUUCUUUCUUUCUAUCCCUUUUUGGCGCUCUUUCCCCAGUUCCACUCUGUACAUUGGUCGGAGAAGACGCUCUAUGCCAACUUUCCAUACAUUUUGUAAAUACGUCCUGGGCACCACAUGCCAAGGACUUUUCUACCUGUACUUAUCAAUAUGUGCAAGUAAACAUGUGAACAGAA